rnacentral:rRNA from 1 species
AGUGAACGCUGGCGGUAGGCCUAACACAUGCAAGUCGAGCGGCAGCACAGUAAGAGCUUGCUCUUACGGGUGGCGAGUGGCGGACGGGUGAGGAAUACAUCGGAAUCUACUUUUUCGUGGGGGAUAACGUAGGGAAGCUUACGCUAAUACCGCAUACGACCUACGGGUGAAAGCAGGGGAUCUUCGGACCUUGCGCGAUUGAAUGAGCCGAUGUCGGAUUAGCUAGUUGGCGGGGUAAAGGCCCACCAAGGCGACGAUCCGUAGCUGGUCUGAGAGGAUGAUCAGCCACACUGGAACUGAGACACGGUCCAGACUCCUACGGGAGGCAGCAGUGGGGAAUAUUGGACAAUGGGCGCAAGCCUGAUCCAGCCAUACCGCGUGGGUGAAGAAGGCCUUCGGGUUGUAAAGCCCUUUUGUUGGGAAAGAAAAGCAGCAGGUUAAUACCCCGCUGUUCUGACGGUACCCAAAGAAUAAGCACCGGCUAACUUCGUG